UAUGUGCAUGUGGGAGGAAGACAAAGGAGAUGGGAAUUAUAGGAUAAUUUUGUAAUAGCCUGAAAAAACACAAUUAACAAAGACGACAUCAAAAUUCUUUGAUAUGUGCUACUUUCAUGAAAAUAUGCAGUUGCUCAGUGACCCCACAUACUUCCAGGCCACUGAAGUCUGGAAUGAUACACCCACGUGCCCAGUAAGAUCCUAUGCUGACUCAAGUCAGCGUAAGUAUACGACUGUGGAACAAAGAUGUCUACUUUGAUAUGGAAGCAGGCAAGAAACAGACUAUAAAUUUUUAAAG